rnacentral:rRNA from 1 species
CCUACGGGGGGCUGCAGUGGGGAAUCUUCCGCAAUGGGCGAAAGCCUGACGGAGCAACGCCGCGUGAGUGAAGACGGCCUUCGGGUUGUAAAGCUCUGUUACACGGGACGAACGGGUUUUGUGCGAACAGCAUAAGACCGUGACGGUACCGUAGAAGAAAGCCACGGCUAACUACGUGCCAGCAGCCGCGGUAAUACGUAGGUGGCAAGCGUUGUCCGGAAUGAUUGGGCGUAAAGGGCGCGCAGGCGGCCGACCAAGUCUGUCUAAAAAGUGCGGGGCUUAACCCCGUGAGGGGAGAGAAACUGGUUGGCUGAGAGUAUCGGAGAGGAAAGCGGAAUUCCUAGUGUAGCGGUGAAAUGCGUAGAUAUUAGGAGGAACACCGGUGGCGAAAGCGGCUUUCUGGACGACAACUGACGCUGAGGCGCGAAAGCCAGGGGAGCAAACGGGAUUAGAUACCCUAGUAGUC